rnacentral:rRNA from 1 species
GUGAGGAAUAUUGGACAAUGGGCGCAAGCCUGAUCCAGCCAUGCCGCGUGCAGGAAGACGCAUCUAUGGUGUGUAAACUGCUUUUGUACGGGAAGAAACACUCCCUCGUGAGGGAGCUUGACGGUACCGUAAGAAUAAGGAUCGGCUAACUCCGUGCCAGCAGCCGCGGUAAUACGGAGGAUCCAAGCGUUAUCCGGAAUCAUUGGGUUUAAAGGGUCCGUAGGCGGUUUAAUAAGUCAGUGGUGAAAGCCCAUCGCUCAACGAUGGAACUGCCAUUGAUACUGUUAGACUUGAAUGACAAGGAAGUAACUAGAAUAUGUAGUGUAGCGGUGAAAUGCUUAGAUAUUACAUGGAAUACCAAUUGCGAAGGCAGGUUACUACUUGUGGAUUGACGCUGAUGGACGAAAGCGUGGGGAGCGAACAGGAUUAGAAACCCUAGUAGUCC